AGUGAACGCUGGCGGCGUGCUUAACACAUGCAAGUCGAACGAGAACGGAAUAUAGCUUGCUAUAUUUGUCAGCUAAGUGGCGCACGGGUGAGUAAUGUAUAGAUAACCUGCCCUUAAGAAAGGAAUAACAGUUGGAAACGACUGCUAAUGCCCUAUAUGCCUUUAAUACAUAAGUAUGCAAGGGAAACGCUUUAGUGCUUAAGGAUGGGUCUGUAUGGUAUCAGCUUGUUGGUGAGGUAAUGGCUCACCAAGGCUAUGACGCCUAACUGGUUUGGGAGGAUGAUGAGUCACACUGGAAAUGGGACACGGUCCAGACUCCAAGGGGGGGAAGCAGUGGGAAAUAUUGAACAAUGGACGAAAGUGUGAUGCAGCAACGCCGCGUGGAGGAUAACACAUUUCGGUGCGUAAACUCCUUUUAUAUAGGAAGAUAAUGACGUUACUAUAUGAAUAAGCACCGGCUAACCCCGUGCCAGCCGCCGCGGUAA
rnacentral:rRNA from 1 species